GUCUUCUUGGUCUCGGCGAUUUCGCGGACUUGAUCCCAGGUGACUUUGGCGACCUUGGUCUUGUGCGGCUCCGCCGAACCCUUCGCCACACCAGCGGCCUUAAGCAGCAGCUUGGCGGCGGGCGGCGUCUUCAGCGUGAAAGUGAAGCUACGGUCUUCAUAAACGGUGAUCU
rnacentral:sRNA from 1 species